rnacentral:lncRNA from 1 species
UUCAGGUGACCCAGAUGAGCAAAGAGUAUGACAAAAAGAUUUCCUUUCAUCUGUAUAAAUACUUCAGGAUUGCUUUGCGUAGAAGGAAGACAACAGUUGCAGGUGGAAAGCUUAGUGCUGUCAUUAUCACCACAAGGGAUGGGAGUCAUGAGCUGAAAUGCAUGUGGCUGCAGUCAUCUCAGAUAUUCACCAGUAUCCUGCCCAAGUCUGGAAGGCCAUUUGUGCUACCUGGCAGAAUUGAAGAUGAUGGAAAAUGA